AUUGAACGCUGGCGGCAGGCCUAACACAUGCAAGUCGAGCGCGCGGCGGACGGGUGAGUAAUGUCUGGAAAUCUGCCCGAUCGAGGGGGAUAACUACUGGAAACGGUGGCUAAUACCGCAUACUAUCAGAUGAACCCAGAUGGGAUUAGCUAGUAGGUGGGGUAAAGGCUCACCUAGGCGACGAUCUCUAGCUGGUCUGAGAGGAUGAUCAGCCACACUGGGACUGAGACACGGUCCAGACUCCUACGGGAGGCAGCAGUGGGGAAUAUUGCACAAUGGGCGCAAGCCUGAUACAGCCAUGCCGCGUGUAUGAAGAAGGCCUUAGGGUUGUAAAGCACUUUCAGCGGGGAGGCGUUACCCGCAGAAGAAGCACCGGCUAACUCCGUGCCAGCAGCCGCGGUAAUAC
rnacentral:rRNA from 1 species